GUCAGCCCUUGAAACGAUUAUCGAGGCCUAAAAUGCUUUAAUUUAGGCCUUAAAUAUGCAUAUUUUGUAUUUUGAAUUCUUUGAUGUAUCGAACUUUUUCUUAUCCCCUUCGUGUUUGAUAUAUCCAGGAUCGACUGUAUUCAAAGUGUUUCCUACUUUCUUUCAACCUAAUAUAAUGGCAUUUGCACUGGCCUUGUUUCAGUUAAAAAAAAUAUUGUGCAGGUUAGUGGGGUCACGUGAAACAUGCCCAUUUUACUUUAUAAUAUGAUAUAUGCUAUUUGAGUUCGAUUUGAAGUUAUUCAACCAAAAUCGCUGUUUGCUUCAAACCUGAAAUUCGCUAUUUGCACAAGCCUCAUAAUUUCUGUGGUUACAACACUCACUAUAAAGUUAAUUAGUGAGUUAAUAAUUAUGUUUUACACAGUUUCUAUUGCUAUUGUAAAUUUUGCCCAGCAAAAGUUAUCAUUUGGUUUUAUGUCCCUUUUUUUAAUUCACAGACAAUUAUUGUUGAUAUACCUGGUUAUAUAUUUCUAAUGUUUUGUCAAGCGAUUUUCAUAAUUUCUUUAGGUGCAUCAAUUUUGCUGCUUUGGUGACUGUUCACAGGAACCAGCCUGUAAUUUUGAAUGAACUUUGCCAUCGAAAUUAAUUGAAAGAAAUGAAAACCCUUGUUUCGUAUUUGCAAUUAAAUGGAAGGUAUCGUUAUAAAAAUGAACUAUUUCAGAAGGGACCGAUCUAGUUAUAAUUGCAUUCUCAGUUCUACAGCAGACAAUUUAAAGGACCCCUGACAAGCGAAAGUAUUCUUUGCGACUUUUUUUACAGGGGUUUGCAGCUUUGAGUGUGGCAAUGCGAAAAUUGAAUUGUAUUGCUCUAACACAUCAUAUAAUUUAUACUAGCAUCGUUAAUUCAGAACAAUUUUGCAUCAUUUCGAAACGCCUGCCGAAAUAAGAUAAGAAACUAGUGCAUGCCCCACAAUGGGGCAGCACCUGAGACUACGUGCGCUCAAGCUUCAGUGACGCUGGACUCACUGUUUUGAAAUAUGGGACCCGUGUGGGGUGAAGAAUGAAACGAUGUAAAUGCUUUGCGUGUCCCCCUUUAAAAAAAAAAGAACAAAAAACCAUUCCUGGCGUAAGCAGCCAAAACAACCUUGAGAGUAGCCCAACAACAGAGCGAAAGAGGGACGAAUAAUAGUCUUUGCCAGCUGCCGGUCGGGGUAUUGUGCGUGCCCCACAAAUGUCCUCCGACACCAGCAUUACUAGCUUACGUCAUUGUGGGGCCCCGUGUCUAUGUCAAACUACAAAAAAGGUCUAUUAACUUGAACACUCGUACGAGCAUGCACCCUUACUUUACAACCAAAUUAAAUAUCUUAUAGGCAGCCCUUGUCACUAAUGAUUGGUCAGAAGUCGUCCAACAUACAGGACUGUCAAACGACACAAGCAUCUGGAGUUUCCAAAUUCGGUGUCAGGGGUCCUUUAAGCCUGUGCAGGGAGUUUACUUACGGCACAUUUAUUAACAGCAGCUCACUUAGAUCACACCUGCAACUGCAGGAUGCAUUAGUUGCUGUAAGGUGCUUGGCUGUAUAUGUCUAUUGUUUAUUGUGUUGACAAGCGAUUUCCAAAAUUUCACGAGGUGCGUCCAGCGGCAGAUCCAGAGGGGGGGUGGUAGGGGCGAUCCUUUUCCCCCCACUCCAAAGUCUGUGUCAGCUCACUUCAGAGCUUGAGUCCACCUUUUAUCAACAAUUAAGACAAAAUAGUGAGACCACUGAGAGCAGACACUAACAGCAUUUACGUCAUGAAGGGGUUCUUCUGCUAGUUAAAGCAAAGUCAUCACCACACCCCUCUCUCCAGGGUUACUUCAGGUGACCCCCCUCCUCCCCCCCCCCCCCCCCUAAAUUAAGUGACUGGAUCUGCCCCUGGGUGUAUCAGUUUAGCUGGCUUGAUCACUGUUUACAGAAUUAAUUGCUAGAGAUGAACACUUUUGUUUGGUUUCUGCAACUAAAUGUAAGGUAGCGUUCUAAAGAUGAAUCAUUUCAGAAGGGGCUGGUCUAGUUGGGAUUGUGUUUUUAGUUCUACAGCUGACAAGUUAAGCCUUUGCAUAAAAUUUACUUGCGGCACAUUUAUUAACAGCAGUUCUCUUAGAUUGCAUCUACAAUCAUGGGGUGCAAUAAUGUGUGCUUGCACAGGUGAUUUGGAAUCGGUACCACCUGCUUGUUCCAGUUUUGUUCUUUUUUUAGAAUGCAUUUUUCAGAUCUAGGAUUUUAUUGUAUUGUGAAGCAUUGUCAUAUGCAGUUCUUGUUUGUUUGUUUUUUGUAUAACUAGUGCUAAGUGUACAUUGCUGAAUUGGGAUAUUUCUGUGAAUGUUGCGUGACAUGACACCGAGUAAUUGUUGCAGUUGGGCUCUGUGCCAUGUGCGCAAGUUUUAAUUUUAUUAGAUGCAGUGACCAAUUAUCAUAGAAACCACCUGUUCAGAAUCUAUGAUUUUGCACUUAAGGUGGCAACUGCAUUAUCAUGACCAUUAUGGUUUCCAUUGUUGAAAUGAAUUGUUUUGUUGUGGUGUAAACGCGAAGUUUUUUUCAGAGCCAAGUUUUUUUUUUUUUUCUAGAAGCACAGUCAAUUGCUCCUACAAGAAUGCCAACUAGAUGCCGAAAACAGUGUAAUUGUGGUCAUGAAGUUGGUUGAACUGUAGACUCGUCUUGUAGUCCUGGCAAAGUUAUGUAUUUCUUUGAGACACCGGGGUUUUAGCUGUUGCACUGGGUUAGGUUGGAUGUUGUCGCAUCAGGCAUGAAGCGAACCAGAUAUCUGUUGGGGAAGCAGCUCCAGUAGUCCACUGAAAUAGUGCAAGGGAGUCUAUAUCCCCUUCAAACAAGAGUUCAUUGUCUGAAAAUGCAUCAAAUUCGUGUGGCAUGAUGUCAAGAUGCUCAAUAUGACAUUUCAAGAAAAAAAAUGAAGGAAUGUGUUGUCUUAUGGGAGUCAGUAAUUAAUGUUAAUUGGUUUGUAACUAAUGUUGAAUUAUUUCACAACAAUCAGUCACCUUCAACUCUUCCAUAAAAAGAACCAAACAUUAGGCCCGUAAUGUUCGCUUUUUGGUUGUAUUUGUUUGAAGCAAAAAAAAAUUAUCUGACAAUGGUCUUGUAAUGUGGCACAUUGAAGAAUCGUCAAAGAUGGUAGUGUUUUCAGCUAAGUGACCCUCUGUAGCAAUGCACUGCACAAUAAAGUUAAAUGACAACUAGUUGUGUACCCAGGAAACCUGCAAGUAUAGGCACACCGAAUUUCGAGCCAUUCGAAGAAGCACACGGUUCAUGAUGCACAGAUGAAGUUUUCUCUAAUGCUACAAAAUGAAGGUCAGAGUUUCGUUUGUUGGAUUUAUCACUGUAAACCAACGCCAGUGCAUUGGCGUUACAUAGUAGAUUUUUUUUUUAAUUUUCGUCAUGUUAAGGAGAAGCUAGCAUGACAGUAACACUGGCUAGCUGUAGUGGGAACUUCAAUGCAAGGUUUGACGGAAAAGGUGCACAUGAAACGCUGGAGAACACCUUGUCUAGCUUCUUCAUCAUCAUCAUCAUCAGCCUGGCUACGCCCACUACAGGGCAAAGGCCUUUCCCAUGAUCCGUCAAUCAACCCGGCCCUGUGCUUUCCGUUGCCACGUUAUACCUGUGAACUUUUUAGUCUUAUCGGCCCACCUAACUUUCUGUCUCCCUAUCGUGUGUAUGCCUUCUCUGGGAAUUCAGUCAGUUACCCUUAAUGACCGGCAGUUAUCCCCUGCCAACAUGCUACGUGCCCAGCCCAUGUCUAUUUCUUAUUGACUUGAACUACGAUAUCUUUAACCCCGGUUUGUUUCCUGACCUACUCUGCUCUCUUCUUUCCAUCGCUCGCUGCGUUGUCCUCCAUUUAAACUGAACCCUCUUUGUUAGCCUCCAGGUUUCUGCUCCGUAGGUAAGUACUGGCAAGAUGCAGCUGUUACAAACCGUCUUGUUGAGGGAUAGUGGCAGAUUACCAUUCAUGAUUUGAGAAUGCUUGCCGAAUGUGAUCCACUCCAUCCUUACUAUUCUAGUUAUUUCACUCUCAUGGUUCGGCUCCGUGUUAUGGGAGCGGCGGUCGCGAGCCUGCCGAUUACAGAAAAGAGAAGGACAAUGAGCGCGAGUGUGCUCGUGGCACAAGCCGGCUGGAAGCGGACAGUUGCGGCCUGGGUUCUAGUCAAUAAACAAGGUCCCUGGUCUGGCUUCAUGUCAUCCCUGCGUGGUUCUGAGUCGAGCGGCCUCGAAGCCCCCUACAUUUGGCUCCCACCGGGAAGAACCCUGCCCCUGGGCCAUGGGUAUCGAGGUACCUGGCAGUCCGCGACCGUGGCCCAGACGCCGCCGCUGACUGUGCCCACAUUUCCGGUCAAGACACGAGGGAAUCGGUCCUAGACUUCAUUGACAAUCUUUUCGUGUACUUGACCGUUAGCGGCUUCUCAGAGUUUGGCGUGUUCCAACGGGUCCUCCCACUUGCUCUGUGUGGUACCGCAGAUGGAUGGCGGCGUUUACUACCUACCUUCCAGUUCUGUAACCAGUUCAUCGCGGCAUUCCGGGAAGAGUCUCUGCCGGUCGCCUACGCCUACCGUAUCCGACUUCAGCUUGACGCCCGAUCGCAACAUCCAGAGGAGGGUCUGCGCGGUUAUGUUCAGGCCAUGCAGGAGCUCUUCUAUCGAGCAGACCCCACGACUCCUGAGACCAUUGAGGUCUCCCACGUUAUGCGGUGAUGCCACCCUCGUUUCCAGCGACACCUGCUGGGCUGCUCCUUCCCUUCUUUCGAAGAGCUAGCCUGCUGUCCUCGGAAAGUUGAAGAGGCCGUCUUUCUGGAGCAGCUCUACGUGUCACAACCUGCCGAUGAGCUGUGACGUGUCAAUGAAGCGUCUCAGUACUUCUGUUCUUAUAUCUACAUCCUGCUAUCUGCGCAGGCCAUGGAGGGUGUGGCAAGCUCGUCCGAUAGAAUGGCACCGCGACACAAGCUACGAGGUGGCAGCGCAUCGUCUGCCAACGAGGGUGCCACUACCCAGAACGACGUUAAAAAGUCUCGGGACAACUGAGGUGGCUCGACAAGGCCCAGCAAGAACCACAGUGGGGAUGACAAGCACCUGAACAGUGUGGCUGAGGGGGAGAACUCCAUGCUUGCUGAGACUGAGAGAGACGCCAAGGGAAGUGCAGGCGGCACACAUGACGCGGUGGGCUCGUUUGCCAUGGAGGCACCUCAGGACGAACAUGAAAAUGGCGAGGACGCAUGCGCUAUCGUGGUCUCGGAGAACGUGAACGCAGUGCAGUCUGCAGCGACUGUAGCAGAGCUCUUCGUGAAUGGUACCAAUGACCUCCGAGGCGGCAAGAACGACAUCGGUGAGGACCGGACAAGCAAGCAGGAUGUCGGCGCCGUCAGCGUAGUGGCAGACGCUAUGUUUAGAAAUGUCGCGCGACGCGACGACGUUUCAGAUUCAGAAGGAUUAGUCAAUGGCACAAGCGGGGAUAUUCAGAAGGCAAAGAAGAAAAAGAGGGCAAGAAAGAAAAAGAAUAGGAAAAGUCAUCAAUACGUGCGGCACAUUGAUGGUUAGGCGGCAGACGAGUACCGCAACAGCGUUGCCAAGGAGGAGGACUCCAUGGCUGCCGAGACCCAAAAAGAAACUGAAGAGAAGUUGAACGGCGCUUCGGACGUGAAAGAGGUGGGCUAUAAGGCGUUUCUGAAGGUGCGGAGAACGCGAACAGUGAGGAGCUCAUGGAGGUGGAGGAGGAGAUCGCUGAGAAAGAGGCCGAAGAGUCUUAAGAAGGCGAAGAAGAGGCCGCCGAAGAGUCUCAGCAUUGCGAUGAGGAGGUUGGUGAGCACUACGGUGAAACUAUCGACAAGUUGCAGGACCUGAAAGAGGCUGUAGAGUUUCAGGAUCACGAGGAGGAGGUCGCUGGUGCAGACACUGAAGAAGACUGCGUGGAGGGAAAAGCCGCUAAAUACUGGAAAGCAGCUGCCGACGGUGAAGUCAAGUAUUACAAGGAGCGCGACUGAACGCCGCCAGACGUCCAGUGGGACGAGGACGUGAAAUGCCUAGUUGCGAUGAUGCAGAGGUCGUUCAUGACAUGGAGAAUGCUGAUGGCAUGUGCCAGGAGUGUGCUGAAGGUAGUAGAGAUGAGCAACACGUCCCGGGCAACCCAGCAGUGCAUGACGAGACGGUGUGUGAUACGUAGGACUACAGCGUGGAAGACGGUGCUCAGGCUGAUGGCACUGAUAACGAAUUCAACGCGGCGACCACAGAAAAUGGUAUCUGCAGAACGUCAGCGUUCAUUCACAGGGACGAGCUCGAGAGGCACUUCAAGGGUAACAAGCAAGCAUUAAGUGAAGGUCGAAGAAUUUGUCAGGCAAAGAAAGCUAAAGCCAGACAGGAAUGGUGCUGGAGCCAAAGGUUUAAAGGACGAUGACAAGUGUGUACACUCUGGCUCUUCCACCUCGUGCACCAAGCAGCAGGCCAGCCGUAAAGGCGGAGGGACCUGCAAGGACAGCACGAGAGGCUGGCAGCUUUUGAGGUCUCGCAUGGAGUUGUGGACUGACUGCGCCGGCAUGUCCAGGGCUAGCAGCUACCGCAUCACGUCCCUCUCUUCACUUUCGCCAAAUGGGAAGGGGCAGCAUGGGGGCGGCGGCCGCAAGCUUGCCGAUUACAGAAAAGAGAGGAGGGCAACUAUCGCGGGUGUGCUCGUGGCACGUGGCAGCGGCUGGCAGCGGGCAGUUGUGGCCCGAGUUCCAGUCUAUAAAGAAGGUCCCUGGUCUGGCUCCGUGUCUUUCCUGCGGGGUUCUGGGCCAAGCAGCCUCUAAGCCCCAUACAGCAUUUACUACCUGUGCUGAGUAGACAUAUUCUUUCACAACUACCAGCGUCUCUCCACCUAUCGCAAAGUGCUGUUUUCUGCCAAGACUGUUGCAUAUUACUUUUUGCAUAUUUAUUUUUAGACCUAUUUUUCUGCUUUCUGUGUCCAGUUCUGUAAUCAUGAGCUGGAAUUCGUCCCCUGAGUUACUUAUCAAGGCAAUGCCAUGGCGAAUUGCAGGUUACUAAGGUACUCUCUGUUAACUCUUAAUUCUUAGCUCUUCCCAAUCUAGUGUCCUGAAAACCUCCUAUAAAGAUGCGGUGAAUAGCAUUAGAGAUGUUGUGUCUUCCUGCUUGACACCCUUCUUUAUUGGAUUCCAUCACUUUUUUUAUGGAGAACUAUGGUGGCUGUGGAUUCACUGUAGGGUUCUUCGAUGCUCUGAUUCCAUAGUGCCUGCAUUACUGUUGAUGUCUCGACUGAAUCAAACGACUUCUCCUAUUCUAUGAAGGCUAGUGCCUGGUUGUAUUCUGCGCAUUUCUCUAUUACCUGAUUGAUAGCAUGAAUAUGGUCUACUGUGGAGUAGCCUGUACGAAAUCCUGCUUGGUCUUUUGGUUGAAUUGGUCUUUUGGAUAAAUUAACUGUAAUAUCGCCUUAAUUUUAUUAGCUAGUAUUUUUGUAGUUUAUAGAGAAUGGACAGUAAGUUGAUCGGCCUGUAAUUUUUCAAGUCCUUGGCAUUUCCUUUCUUAUGUAUUAAAAUGAUGUUGGUGUUCUUUCUUCCGAAAUUCUCGUACUCUUGCCGUCAAAAGACAUUUCGUAUAUAAUGUGGCCAGUUUUUUAAACACAAUUUCUCCACCAUCUGUCAGGAGGUUCGUUGUUACCUUAUCCUCACCAGUGGCUUUGCCUCUUUGCAUUGCUUCUAGAGCUCUCCUUACUUCCCCUGUCGUUACUGGUACGAUGUUGAAUUCCUCUGGACUAAUACUGUUUCUCACGAUAUCAUUCUGGUUGUUUUUGAGGGUGCGUACAGGUUCUUGAAAACCUUGAAAACCCUUGAAUUUAAAAAAUGCAUUUAAAGGCCCUUCAAAGUCCUGAAAUUCUAUUCCAUCCUUGAAAAUGCUUGAAUUUUCUAAGCACUUCCAAUCAACAUUGCAGGCUCCUUGAUGUGGUAUAUCGGCAUGUCUGCCAAGUCUCCGAAUUUCGACCAGUGCUUACGUUUGUACACUUGUCAGGCAAAUCUCCGGAAAAUUGAAAUUUCUGUGUGUGAUCUGGCCGCAUUGACAAAAGUUCAGGCCAAUCCGAGCCAGGUUUUUUGCAAACUGAUCGCAAUUUAUUGUAAACGACUUUAGGAGGCGUUCAUCUAAACAACCAUUGGGCCAAAAUUCGUAUGUUCAGAGUUUUUUUUGUCAUCAUGGCAGGUCAUAUAAACUUUAGUGCCAAAACCGUGAAACGAAGGUGGGGAGCAGCGUGUUCAAAGCUUUUGAAGGACGCGCGCGGCCAGUGCACGCACUCUCAGAACUGCAGUUGUCAUCUGCCACAACCGCUGUGGACGAAACCGCGGUCGCUCUUGGCACGAUCAUGUGUGGGGACUAUCUAACUGACAGAACUCUAAAAUUGCUUGUGCGCUCUAUGCUCGCUGUGGACGAAACCACAGUCACUCUUGACACGAUUGUAUGUGGAUACUAUGUAACUGACAGAACUCCAAUAGUACACGUGCGUUUUAUGCUUGGCCAGUUAAAAUGAUGAUGCUUUCCACAAACGCUGUGGUCAAAAUCGCGGCAGAUGCAAUCAUAGAUAGCAAAAGAACGAUAUGGUUUUAAAGGCACGUGCGCAGCCAGCACAUGUGCAUGUUUUCUACAAUUACCGCGUGCGAAACCGCGGUUGCAGCAAUACGAAUACUAGCAGAGGGCACACGGAUAAUGCAGUAGUAGAGGCGAUAAAUAUGUAAAAAAAACGCUAAAGGGGUUUUGGCAUUCCUGUACAAUUAAUCUAGUAGUGCUGUUCCUGUCCAUUGGGGUACUUUCGCUAUACUUUGGCAUAAAGUUUUCAGUUGGGCCUAAGCUAAGUUUCAACCCGUGCUUUCCUGGCAGCUGGAUGCGCCGUCCCAUCUGUUUGCGCCCCGGGAAGACAUACACACGUUUUUUGAGAAAAAUAGAUUUUGCUAGUUAUUUGGAUAACGCGAAAUUUUGAGAGGUACGAGUAUAUUUCCCCCCCCCCCCCCCUCUGAAACUCGCACUUUUUAAGCGGUAUUCAUACGAAGCAGAAAUCCACGAGGGAUAAAGGCAGAGCCUAGUGACAUCAACAAGCGUGAAAUUUUUCUAAAUGUCCCUCACUCACACGAACGAGGCGAACGGUGGGGGAGAUCAAUGUGGCCAGAGCCUCCACCAUAUAAUGGAGCGGGAGCACUGAAGAAUUUUUUUUACCCCCAGCCAUAGAUAUCCGCAAGAUUUCGUCUUGAAGGGGGGGGGAGGUCAAAGCCGCGUUGUAUCCUGUCUGGUGAACAAAGUGCUUGUAUGGUUUGAGGGAAGUGCCCCUUUCGCACCCUCCCUACCACUUUGCUGCUUUUAGAAACUCUCUUGUUUAUAUGUUUUUUAUGGAAUGCAGACGUGGCUUAGUGUUGGGUUUGACUUGCUACCACAAGCUUUUCUGUUUUGCAAAGACGAACUCAUCCAAAGUGGCAUUCCUGGCAACGUCGUUGACAACGACUUUUUUUUUUCUCGGCUACAACAUUGCUCAGAGCCUCUCUGACUUAUACUACUGUUGAGUUGGUAGAUAGGAAUUUCAAUGAAAUAUCUUUAAAUGUAGGUUGGCUUUCGUGAACGAAGGAAUUAUGCUUUAUAACAUUUCUCUCAUAAGAACAACCGAGAACAGAAGUGAUGUAGCCUAAUAAUAUUUGACAAUUAUCUGUACAACCAUUAUAAUUUUGAAACACAAGGUAAUAAAAGACCACUUUUGUCUUCACUAUGCAAAUUCAGCCUAAAAACCGGCUGCAUCAGUGCAGCCGCUAAAGUAAAAUGUGAAGUAUGUCAUGUUUCCGAAAAAUAAAAAGCAGCGCUCAGGUUCUACAACUGCCUAUUUUUUAAACAUCUAAUCUUGAAUAAAGAGGUCAGUUAAAAAAAGACUAUCAUCUUUCAAAUGUCCACAUAAAGUAAGACAUCUUCAUCAGGCUGAACAAGCAGCGCAGUAGUCGCAGCAGCAAAAACAACAACAACAAAAGUGGGUGAUGCCACAAUUCUUCUGAGAAUAAGCACAUUAAAACAAAACUAAAUAUCACUCCAUAGAGAGGGUAGUGUGUCAUUUCCCACACACCAUUCUUUUUAAGUUAGUUUUACUAUAGUCAACGAAAGAGAUGUCCUACAAGCAAGGAUAUUCUUCCACGAGAGAAAAGAAAAAAAAAAAGUUGCUUUAUCAUUCACCCUCGAGAACCUAGAAGACCAACAACAACUCGUCGCCAGGUCCAAGAGGGCUGUAGAAGCCAGAGGGUUCCUGGGCUAAGGAGCCCUCCCACCUCAGGGUGACACCGGGCAUUGCUCGGGGCACUGUUUCAAAAUAAACGUUUACUUUUCUCUCUCUCUUCAUCAUUCAUUUGUGCCAUCACGGUGCCCGCAAUUCUGGAACGUAAUUUGGAAAGGCCGUCACCGCUCCGUUUUGCAGAAGAGAGGGCUACAAUGAGGCCAGAGACCUACUCAAAAUUUCUCUACAUCUCCCGCAGCGCAGGUAUCGUUUGACUGGUCAAAGAAAGGGUCCCCACCUCGCCCGAGGAGCCGCGAAGAGGUCGCGUCGACACACUAACCCGUGAUAUCGUUGUCACGUGAUAAGCCAUCCUCGCCUCUUCUCUGGGGGAUUUCUCCCUCGUGUGAGUACGGCUACACUGUAGUUUGGAAGCUCUACCAUCGGGUGUUCAGCCAUCUAAGCCGGUGCGAGACCACGCAGUGCCAGUGUUUAUGCCCCCCCCCCCCCCCUGUUCUAAUUUUUUUUUGGGAUGUUUUUUUUUUUGGUGCAAUAAAAAAGUCAAACAAAUCGGCGCGACAACUAAAUUAUUACGUUCUGCGAACUCUACUAAUAAUUCUUUUCUGGCAUUUCUAGAGCCAAUGCCACACGUUAAACCGAAAAUGACUAAAGGGGGGGUAUGCCAUUGGUCCUUAAGGGACUGAAUGAGCUUCCACAGAUUUUGAACCAAUUUGGAAAAACUGUGGGAGCAACUGCAAGGGUUCAACUGUUACCCCCUAGCACUUACUCUUUUGCCUACUUUUUCUAUAUAUCGCUUUGAAGUUGUGGCCAGUGACUGUGCGCGUACAUGACCCCUGACGAACAGCUUAAUUUUAUUAGCGCUGUCAGUGUUCUUCGCAGUUCUAAUUCAGCACAUUGAAGCGAGUUAUCCGCAUUCUCGUGCUUGAAGACUUUCACUUGUUUUCAGCCUGCCCGUGUUGGCACGCUGGAAACGUGAGGGCGCUUGAUGUGUGCAAUGACUGCGUGUUGAACUUGCCUCUCACAACAGCUUUUAUUUGUUUCAUAGUGCUUCACAUUUAAUGUGGCGCAUAGCGAUAUAACUUGUUUUCGUGAUAGUCGACCGGGUCGAGCAUUGCAGUGCAGCAUCGACAGAAGAUGAUUACGGCGCAAUUACCCUCCCCGUUAGUACCUUCAUUGCCGGGCAUUUGCUCACGACACGCACUGUCACGCAUUUAGUCCCUGUUGGACGAACCGUUCGUCCAUUGGUUAAACAAUUGCAGUUAGUCCAGCUUUGCCGAAUUUUGGCGUAAAGUGUGCCAUAUUCUCCUAUUUCAUGGUCUCUGACCUGUUUCUUGCCUACUUUGGCAUUGAAGUCGCUCAUUAGGAUAAUAUACUGUGUCUUUAGUUUAUUAAUAACUGACUCUACAUCUCCAUAGAAGCAUUCAACUUUCUAGCUUAUCAAGCAACAAAAGUGGUGUUUUGUUAUCUUCUUUUCACUUUAGUGUUUCAUAAACUGGUCCUUUAAAGCUCUGUGGUCACCGUCUGUGAUUGUGUUAAAAGCAACUGCAGUUUAAUUUGGGGGAAAAGAGCGUGUGGUUGUGGCUGUUUUCCACAAUUUUUGAAGGAGUACCGCUCAGGGGAUGGUGAAGAAAUUAGAUUUAAGUCUAAAUGCUGCAAAGGCAAACUUGUGCAUAGGCAAAAAUCAGAUGUGUGCUUUAAGGGACAAGGGUAGUAUAGUUGAGGUGGCGGAAGAAUUCUACAAAGAGCUGUACAGAAGCCGAAACAACCGAGGCGAUAUCGUAAGAAGCAAUAGCCCAGAGGAAUUCGACAUCCUACCAGUAAUGACAGGCGAAGUACGGAAAGACCUAGAAAGAAUGCAAAGAGGCAAAGCCGCUGGUGAGAAUGAGGUAAUGAUGGACCUCCUGACAUUGCAUUUCUGAGUUACUCAGCGAACGAAUUACAAUUCAUAAUUACUGAAUUAGACGAGGAGAGGAGAAAAGUAGGUCUUGAAGUGAAUCUGCAGAAAACGAAAGUAAUGUGUGAAAGUAACCUCGGAAUAGAACAGCGCUUCAAGAUAGGUAGCAGUGCAUUUGAAGUUGUAGAAGAGUACGUAUACUUAGAACAGGUAGCAACUGCGGAGGUGAACCAUGAUAUCGGAGUAACUAUAAUAAUAAGGAUGGGGUGGAGCACAUCCAGCAAGCAUUCUCAAAUCAUGGCUGGUAGAUUUUUACUACCCCUCAAGAGGAACGUAUAUAACAGCCACAUCUUGCCGGUAUAACUUACCUGUGGAGCAGAAACCUGGAGGCUUACUGAGAGGGUUCAGCUUAAAUUGAGGACGAAGCAGUGAGCAUUGGAAAGAAAAAUCACUGGGUUAACCUUAAUAGACAAGAAGACAGAAGAGUGGGUCAGGUAACAAACCGGGGUUAAGGAUAUCGUAGUUGAAAUCCUGAAGAAAAAAAAUGGACAUGGGCUGGCCACAUAGCAUGUUGCAGGAUAACCGCUGGUCAUUAAGGGUUACUGACUGAAUUCCCAGUAAAAACAAACGCACGAAGGGAAGACAGGAUGUUAGGUUGGCUGAUGAGAUUAAAAAGUUUCCAGGUAUAACGUGGCAGCAUAAAGCACAAGACCAGGUUGAUUGGUGAAUCAUAGGAGAGGCCUUUGUCCUGCAGUGGGCGUAUUCAGGCUGAUGAUGAGGACAAUGCAUCUGCAUCAGCCAAGCGAUGAACUGACUGCAGUGCACUAGCCUCAUACUCACUGGCUGCAUUUCGGCGGAUGAUCUGUCGCUCAGCAGCCGACUAAUAAACAAUUUAUUAAAAUAUUUGUAUGGUAGGCGAAAGUGCAGCAUAGUUAAGAGACGGUGAAGACACAGGUGUUGCGAUAUCACCGCAUUCGAAGGAAGUCACAGGUGCUUACUGCAGUCAUGAAAAAGCACUAUUACAUUUGUAAUAUCAGAACUCAUAUAGAUGGGAGUAUACGUCUAGGAAACAUAUUCAUUAUGAACUUACUUUCUUUGUUGUAUUUUCUUUGUGCAGCUGACGAGUAGUCGAAUUUUUCAUGUGGCAGAAAUUUCAUUGUAGAAGCAUUUGACUGUGCAUCAUUUAAUAUUGCGUGAUAUCUUCAUGAGCAGGCUGUACUGUGUGUGUGUCUAUGCUUGAUUGAGAGAGGGCGCAUUGCUUCACUUUGAUGUGAACAAAAGUCCGAUGUUUUGUUAUCAUUGUCUCGCCAUGCAUUUUUCUAGGAAUUUUAGUGUUUUUUUGUAAAGUUUUGUUUCUCUCUUUUCGUAACCUCUGGAAACUGAAAAGGUUUUUAUUUUAAUCCAAUAAAGUCUUGCUUUCUACAAAUGCAA